CAUUUCCAGCAGCUUGGCUGUGUCCAGUGCAGCCAGCAACAGAGGUCCAGCAUUCACUAUGAUGUAAGAGCCACUUGUUGGGUCAUCACUGUUCUCUCUGUAACGGACCUGUCAGACAGGGAGCAGCCUUACGGCAGGAAGCUCUGUGCUCCAGACACAGGCAAAACAAUGGGAAUAGCAUUUUGUGUAUUGACAUCAGGGACUUCGCAGCAUAAUGCAUAAUUCAGUCAGCUGCUGCUUCCAUCAAAAAGUCCACGAGGAUGCAAAGAGCACAGUAGCAGGCUCACAGCUGAAUCAGAUCCCACAGAAGCAGGCGUGCCGUGCAAUUUCCUCCCACCUCAAAUGCGUAUUUCAUAACAGGGAGCGGUAUUUUUAACCAUUUUUACAUUUCUCUCUCCCCAUUAGGUUCCUUUGAAGUUGCUCAGCUUUUUUUUUCUGGCUGUUUCAAAUCCAAGCACACUGGCAGCAUUACGUGCUCGGCCAAUUCAGUGCUCCCUCACCAGCUUUCCAAGGCAUUUGCUUGCUUAAAGCAGGAGCGUGUUUGUUCAGAUGCCCUGGGAGCCCACUCCUGUGUGAACUCACCUGGAAGGAGAGUUUAUCUCCUAUGCUGUGUUUGCAUAGCUCCUAAGAUAAGCCAUCAAAAGCGGUUUCUUUGCUGGGAGGGGAGGGGGGGAGAGGAGGAGGAUCCAUAUAGGUAUCGUUUGUCAAAACACGAGGCCAGGUGAUGUGCUGUGAAGCACCUGGAAACACAGGUAGGCUAUUUUGGAGAACCUGAUGAUUUCAAAUCAAAGCAGACGCAACCGUGGAAUGCGACAAAGAAUUUCCACCCCAAAAAUUGUCUGCUACUGCAUGACUGCACAAUCUUCCUUGGCCUCCUCAAGGCACCCAGUGCAGCCAGGAGACCCAAGGGGCAUUUUCGUGACAAAUACAGACCAGGUUUUGCCCAAACCCUCCAGCCUACAAAGAUGACAGCUUCUGGUGUGUCACCUUCACCCCAGGGGGCUUGGUCAGGCUGCUGCGGCCUGUGAGGAGGAGUGCUAUCCUCCUCCUGGGUGGAUGGUGAGCCCUGGUCCUGCCUCCAGCUUUACCAGCUCGGGGGCCCUCUGAUUUAGGGGAAAUCCACACACUCCACCGUCUUGUCUCGCCACUGUGGCUGACACAGGCAAUAAGGGAGCGACCUGCAUGCUGGUGUAUUACAAAUGAUUUAUUGGUCUAAUAAAGAGCCUCAAAUUACCCACUGCCUCCUUCCUCUUCCCCAUUGCCCCAAGGACCAAUACAGCUACUGUACAAACAUUUCCUACCUCAUGUUAAGUAAUGUAACUGAGAAGAAAAACAAGUAGAUGUCCCCUCGUGGCCCCCUGGCCAGCGUGUUCAGCCACGGCGCCGGCACCAGGGCAGAAACACGUUGUUCCACACCUG